rnacentral:rRNA from 1 species
AUUGAACGCUGGCGGCAGGCCUAACACAUGCAAGUCGAGCGGAUGAAGGGAGCUUGCUCCUGGAUUCAGCGGCGGACGGGUGAGUAAUGCCUAGGAAUCUGCCUGGUAGUGGGGGAUAACGUCCGGAAACGGGCGCUAAUACCGCAUACGUCCUGCGGGAGAAAGUGGGGGAUCUUCGGACCUCACGCUAUCAGAUGAGCCUAGGUCGGAUUAGCUAGUUGGUGGGGUAAAGGCCUACCAAGGCGACGAUCCGUAACUGGUCUGAGAGGAUGAUCAGUCACACUGGAACUGAGACACGGUCCAGACUCCUACGGGAGGCAGCAGUGGGGAAUAUUGGACAAUGGGCGAAAGCCUGAUCCAGCCAUGCCGCGUGUGUGAAGAAGGUCUUCGGAUUGUAAAGCACUUUAAGUUGGGAGGAAGGGCAGUAAGUUAAGACCUUGCUGUUUUGACGUUACCAACAGAAUAAGCACCGGCUAACUUCGUG